AUUGAGCGCUGGCGGCAGGCCUAACACAUGCAAGUCGAGCGGGGUUUUCGGACCUAGCGGCGGACGGGUGAGUAAUGCGUAGGAAGCUGCCCGAUAGAGGGGGAUACCAGUUGGAAACGACUGUUAAUACCGCAUAAUGUCUACGGACCAAAGUGUGGGACCUUCGGGCCACAUGCUAUCGGAUGCGCCUACGCGGGAUUAGCUAGUUGGUGAGGUAAUGGCUCACCAAGGCGACGAUCUCUAGCUGGUUUGAGAGGAUGAUCAGCCACACUGGAACUGAGACACGGUCCAGACUCCUACGGGAGGCAGCAGUGGGGAAUAUUGGACAAUGGGCGCAAGCCUGAUCCAGCCAUGCCGCGUGUGUGAAGAAGGCCUUCGGGUUGUAAAGCACUUUCAGCGAGGAGGAAGGGUGGUGUGUUAAUAGCACAUCAUUUUGACGUUACUCGCAGAAGAAGCACCGGCUAACUCUGUGCCAGCCGCCGCGGUAAUAC
rnacentral:rRNA from 1 species